rnacentral:pre_miRNA from 1 species
UGAAGGGCUUGAUCCAAAGCCCAUUGAAGUCAAUGGAAGUCUUUGGAAGUCAUAACUUUCCACUGACUUCAGUGGGCUUUGGAUCAGACUCAUAAACA